rnacentral:rRNA from 1 species
GACGAACGCUGGCGGCGUGCUUAACACAUGCAAGUCGAACGGAAAGGCCCUUUCGGGGGUACUCGAGUGGCGAACGGGUGAGUAACACGUGGGUGAUCUGCCCUGCACUUCGGGAUAAGCUUGGGAAACUGGGUCUAAUACCGGAUAGGACUACGCACUGCAUGGUGUGUGGUGGAAAGCUUUUGCGGUGUGGGAUGGGCCCGCGGCCUAUCAGCUUGUUGGUGGGGUGAUGGCCUACCAAGGCGACGACGGGUAGCCGGCCUGAGAGGGUGUCCGGCCACACUGGGACUGAGAUACGGCCCAGACUCCUACGGGAGGCAGCAGUGGGGAAUAUUGCACAAUGGGCGCAAGCCUGAUGCAGCGACGCCGCGUGGGGGAUGACGGCCUUCGGGUUGUAAACCUCUUUCACCAUCGGCGAAGCCGGGAGCUUUUGUUUCUGGUGACGGUA